rnacentral:tRNA from 1 species
GGAUUAUUAGCUCGGUUGGUCAGAGCGGUCGGCUCAUAACCGAUUGGUCGUAGGUUCGAGUCCUACAUAAUCCACCA